rnacentral:rRNA from 1 species
AAAAAAAAAAAUUAAAACCUCAACAACGGAUCUCUUGGUUACCGCAUCGAUGAAGAACGCGGCGAGCUGCGAUACGUGAUGCGAAUCGCACAGCAAUGACACAUCGAGUUUUUGAACGCACAUUGCACUCUAUAGUAUUCUAUUGAGUCUGUCUGUUCGAGCGUCGUUUCAACCCUCAGGCUUGCCUGGUUGUGGAGAUGGAAGCAAUCCUCUCCGAAGUUUAUUGACGGUACCCACGGCACCAGAUGCAGUCACGCUUCGUCUGUAGCCCGAAGGCCACUUGUCUCCUUUCGAUUCAGAAACAUGA